rnacentral:rRNA from 1 species
AAAUUGAAGAGUUUGAUCAUGGCUCAGAUUGAACGCUGGCGGCAGGCCUAACACAUGCAAGUCGAACGGUAACAGGAAGCAGCUUGCUGCUUUGCUGACGAGUGGCGGACGGGUGAGUAAUGUCUGGGAAACUGCCUGAUGGAGGGGGAUAACUACUGGAAACGGUGGCUAAUACCGCAUAACGUCGCAAGACCAAAGAGGGGGACCUUCGGGCCUCUUGCCAUCAGAUGUGCCCAGAUGGGAUUAGCUUGUUGGUGAGGUAACGGCUCACCAAGGCGACGAUCCCUAGCUGGUCUGAGAGGAUGACCAGCCACACUGGAACUGAGACACGGUCCAGACUCCUACGGGAGGCAGCAGUGGGGAAUAUUGCACAAUGGGCGCAAGCCUGAUGCAGCCAUGCCGCGUGUAUGAAGAAGGCCUUCGGGUUGUAAAGUACUUUCAGCGGGGAGGAAGGUGUUGCGGUUAAUAACCGCAGCAAUUGACGUUACCCGCAGAAGAAGCACCGGCUAACUCCGUGCCAGCAGCCGCGGUAAUACGGAGGGUGCAAGCGUUAAUCGGAAUUACUGGGCGUAAAGCGCACGCAGGCGGUCUGUCAAGUCGGAUGUGAAAUCCCCGGGCUCAACCUGGGAACUGCAUUCGAAACUGGCAGGCUUGAGUCUUGUAGAGGGGGGUAGAAUUCCAGGUGUAGCGGUGAAAUGCGUAGAGAUCUGGAGGAAUACCGGUGGCGAAGGCGGCCCCCUGGACAAAGACUGACGCUCAGGUGCGAAAGCGUGGGGAGCAAACAGGAUUAGAUACCCUGGUAGUCCACGCCGUAAACGAUGUCUACUUGGAGGUUGUGCCCUUGAGGCGUGGCUUCCGGAGCUAACGCGUUAAGUAGACCGCCUGGGGAGUACGGCCGCAAGGUUAAAACUCAAAUGAAUUGACGGGGGCCCGCACAAGCGGUGGAGCAUGUGGUUUAAUUCGAUGCAACGCGAAGAACCUUACCUGGUCUUGACAUCCACAGAACUUUCCAGAGAUGGAUUGGUGCCUUCGGGAACUGUGAGACAGGUGCUGCAUGGCUGUCGUCAGCUCGUGUUGUGAAAUGUUGGGUUAAGUCCCGCAACGAGCGCAACCCUUAUCCUUUGUUGCCAGCGAUUAGGUCGGGAACUCAAAGGAGACUGCCAGUGAUAAACUGGAGGAAGGUGGGGAUGACGUCAAGUCAUCAUGGCCCUUACGACCAGGGCUACACACGUGCUACAAUGGCGCAUACAAAGAGAAGCGACCUCGCGAGAGCAAGCGGACCUCAUAAAGUGCGUCGUAGUCCGGAUUGGAGUCUGCAACUCGACUCCAUGAAGUCGGAAUCGCUAGUAAUCGUGGAUCAGAAUGCCACGGUGAAUACGUUCCCGGGCCUUGUACACACCGCCCGUCACACCAUGGGAGUGGGUUGCAAAAGAAGUAGGUAGCUUAACCUUCGGGAGGGCGCUUACCACUUUGUGAUUCAUGACUGGGGUGAAGUCGUAACAAGGUAACCGUAGGGGAACCUGC